CCCGCACAAGCGGUGGAGUAUGUGGUUUAAUUCGAUGCAACGCGAAGAACCUUACCUGGUCUUGACAUCCCGGAGACCCUUAGGAAACUAGGGGGUGCUUCCAUCUGGAAGAAUCUGGAGACAGGUGCUGCAUGGCUGUCGUCAGCUCGUGUCGUGAGAUGUUGGGUUAAGUCCCGCAACGAGCGCAACCCUUGCCUUUAGUUGCCAGCAGUUCGGCUGGGCACUCUAAAGGGACUGCCGGUGUUAAACCGGAGGAAGGUGGGGAUGACGUCAAGUCCUCAUGGCCUUUAUGACCAGGGCUACACACGUACUACAAUGGCCGAUACAAAGGGCAGCGACACUGCGAGGUGAAGCCAAUCCCGUAAAAUCGGUCUCAGUCCGGAUUGGAGUCUGCAACUCGACUCCAUGAAGUUGGAAUCGCUAGUAAUCGCGCAUCAGCAUGGCGCGGUGAAUACGUUCCCGGGCCUU
rnacentral:rRNA from 1 species